UGCGCAGUUCCAAGGUUGAUCAGUUGUAUGUCUUGACAGGUAGGCAGAAGUAAACUGUUGAAUUAUAAAUUUAGGUAAACCACCCUACAAGCUGAAAUUUAAAACCAACAUUCAGUGGCACUAAAACUAAAAUCAUUUCGGUAUUGAGGUGUACUGCUUUUGCCAAGUUAAAAAUUCAAGCCAAUAUGUCUUCAAGUGAGGAUCAAAAUCCUGAGGUACGGACUUUCUUCUUCUUCUUCUU